rnacentral:rRNA from 1 species
GACGAACGCUGGCGGCGUGCUUAACACAUGCAAGUCGAACGGAAAGGCCCUGCUUUUGUGGGGUGCUCGAGUGGCGAACGGGUGAGUAACACGUGAGUAACCUGCCCUUGACUUUGGGAUAACUUCAGGAAACUGGGGCUAAUACCGGAUAGGAGCUCCUGCUGCAUGGUGGGGGUUGGAAAGUUUCGGCGGUUGGGGAUGGACUCGCGGCUUAUCAGCUUGUUGGUGGGGUAGUGGCUUACCAAGGCUUUGACGGGUAGCCGGCCUGAGAGGGUGACCGGCCACAUUAGGACUGAGAUACGGCCCAGAUUCCUACGGGAGGCAGCAGUGGGGAAUAUUGCACAAUGGGCGGAAGCCUGAUGCAGCAACGCCGCGUGCGGGAUGACGGCCUUCGGGUUGUAAACCGCUUUCGCCUGUGACGAAGCGUGAGUGACGGUAAUGGGUAAAGAAGCACCGGCUAACUACGUG